CUUUAGUCUGAAGAUGUGAAGGUUCUCUGUGGUCCUGAUGUCUUCAGAGACCUCCUUCCACCAUUUAGGAGCAGGACAGCAAAGAGUGGAGAUCUAGUCGAGUGUUUUGCUCUCAGCGAGGAGGAACAAGCAGUUUAUCACAUGCAGAGCGGAGAGUGCGGGUCGGGAUGUCUGGUUGGACCAGGUCCUGGAUGUAAGCUGGACCCCAUCCAUUCACAGCACGUAGUUUCAGACUUUUAUGUUUUUGAAGAAUCGGCGCCAACGCAGCUCAACUUCUACUUGCUGCUGCACUGACUCGAACCCUCUUAACUCAACGAAACUCGACCUUCAGUUCAGACAGAAAGCUGCGACUUCCUCGACCGGCCGUCUGAUGUGUCGGAAUCCAUUCCAGUUCACCUUCUGGGGAGACGGUUCCCCCGCUGGGAAACGUCUGACGCGAUAGCAAACAGUUAAAAAAACAUGUCACAGUUCAUUCUGGGAGGAAAUGUCCAACUCUGCUGAGGCCCACUGAGCGCAGCUGGAGUCCGUCCCAAAGUUUGACUUAAUCCCUGUAAAGACAUCCGGCUGCGUGUGUUUGGAAUGAACUGAGACAGAACAGCUGAACGGUGAAGUUAUCAAAUCGCCUGCUUCUUCCAACCGCAUGGCGACUGCAGUGAGGCGGCGCCGCAGAUGGAGCAGGAAAUGUUCGAGU
ensembl:lncRNA